UACAGAGGUCCCAAGCGUUGUUCGGAUUCAUUGGGCGUAAAGGGUGCGUAGGUGGCGCCGUAAGUGGGGUGUGAAAUUUCGGAGCUUAACUCCGAAACUGCAUUCCAUACUGCGGUGCUUGAGGACUGGAGAGGAGACUGGAAUUUACGGUGUAGCAGUGAAAUGCGUAGAGAUCGUAAGGAACACCAGUGGCGAAGGCGGGUCUCUGGACAGUUCCUGACGCUGAGGCACGAAGGCCAGGGGAGCAAACGGG
rnacentral:rRNA from 1 species